rnacentral:rRNA from 1 species
UGGGGAAUAUUGCACAAUGGGCGCAAGCCUGAUGCAGCCAUGCCGCGUGUGUGAAGAAGGCCUUCGGGUUGUAAAGCACUUUCAGCGGGGAGGAAGGCGGUGAGGUUAAUAACCUCAUCGAUUGACGUUACCCGCAGAAGAAGCACCGGCUAACUCCGUGCCAGCAGCCGCGGUAAUACGGAGGGUGCAAGCGUUAAUCGGAAUUACUGGGCGUAAAGCGCACGCAGGCGGUCUGUCAAGUCGGAUGUGAAAUCCCCGGGCUCAAACUGGGAACUGCAUUCGAAACUGGCAGGCUAGAGUCUUGUAGAGGGGGGUAGAAUUCCAGGUGUAGCGGUGAAAUGCGUAGAGAUCUGGAGGAAUACCGGUGGCGAAGGCGGCCCCCUGGACAAAGACUGACGCUCAGGUGCGAAAGCGUGGGGAGCAAACAGG